CAGCAGCCGCGGUAAUACGAAGGGUGCAAGCGUUAAUCGGAAUUACUGGGCGUAAAGCGUGCGUAGGCGGUGAGUUAAGUCUGCUGUGAAAUCCCCGGGCUUAACCUGGGAACUGCAUUUGUGACUGGCGAGCUAGAGUAUGGCAGAGGGGGGUAGAAUUCCACGUGUAGCAGUGAAAUGCGUAGAGAUGUGGAGGAAUACCGAUGGCGAAGGCAGCCCCCUGGGCCAAUACUGACGCUCAUGCACGAAAGCGUGGGGAGCAAACAGGAUUAGAUACCCCAGUAGUCCCUGUCUCUUAUAC
rnacentral:rRNA from 1 species